UGGGGAAUUUUGGACAAUGGGGGAAACCCUGAUCCAGCCAUCCCGCGUGUGCGAUGAAGGCCUUCGGGUUGUAAAGCACUUUUGGCAGGAAAGAAACGUCAUGGGUUAAUACCCCGUGAAACUGACGGUACCUGCAGAAUAAGCACCGGCUAACUACGUGCCAGCAGCCGCGGUAAUACGUAGGGUGCAAGCGUUAAUCGGAAUUACUGGGCGUAAAGCGUGCGCAGGCGGUUCGGAAAGAAAGAUGUGAAAUCCCAGAGCUCAACUUUGGAAAUGCAUUUUUAACUACCGGGCUAGAGUGUGUCAGAGGGAGGUGGAAUUCCGCGUGUAGCAGUGAAAUGCGUAGAUAUGCGGAGGAACACCGAUGGCGAAGGCAGCCUCCUGGGAUAACACUGACGCUCAUGCACGAAAGCGUGGGGAGCAAACAGG
rnacentral:rRNA from 1 species